GACGAACGCUGGCGGCGUGCUUAACACAUGCAAGUCGAGCGGAGCGGCGGACGGGUGAGUAAUGCCUAGGAAUCUGCCUGGUAGUGGGGGAUAACGUCCGGAAACGGGCGCUAAUACCGCAUACUAUCAGAUGAGCCUAGGUCGGUUUAGCUCUUUGGUGGGGUAAAGGCCUACCAAGGCGACGAUCCGUAACUGGUCUGAGAGGAUGAUCAGUCACACUGGAACUGAGACACGGUCCAGACUCCUCCGUGAGGCAGCAGUGGGGAAUUUUGGACAAUGGGCGAAAGCCUGAUACAGCCCUGCCGCGUGUGUGAAGAAGGUCUUCGGAUUGUAAAGCACUUUAAGUUGGGAGGCGUUACCAACAGAAUAAGCACCGGCUAACUUCGUGCCAGCAGCCGCGGUAAUUC
rnacentral:rRNA from 1 species